ACCUGCCUCCUGUCAUCCAGCAGGCAGAUCGGGGGCUCCCUGCACCCCUGGGGGGUGCCGGCAGGCCCCCGAUCUGCUUGCCAGCUGACAGGAGCUGGGA
rnacentral:pre_miRNA from 1 species